UACAUGGGGUGCAAACGUUGCUCGGAAUUAUUGGGCGUAAAGCGCGCGUAGGCGGUUACUCAAGUCGGAUGUGAAAGCCCUCGGCUUAACUGAGGAAGUGCACCCGAAACUGAGUAGCUAGAGUACUAAAGAGGGUCGCGGAAUUCCCGGUGUAGAGGUGAAAUUCGUAGAUAUCGGGAGGAACACCGGUGGCGAAGGCGGCGACCUGGGUAGAUACUGACGCUGAGGCGCGAAAGCGUGGGGAGCAAAAGGG
rnacentral:rRNA from 1 species